rnacentral:rRNA from 1 species
AGUAACACGUGGAUAACCUACCUAUAAGACUGGGAUAACUUCGGGAAACCGGAGCUAAUACCGGAUAAUAUUUUGAACCGCAUGGUUCAAAAGUGAAAGACGGCCUUGCUGUCACUUAUAGAUGGAUCCGCGCUGCAUCAGCUAGUUGGUAAGGUAACGGCUUACCAAGGCAACGAUGCAUAGCCGACCUGAGAGGGUGAUCGGCCACACUGGAACUGAGACACGGUCCAG